GCUGGGUGUGGUGGUGCAUGCCUGUAUUCCCAGUUACUUGUGAGGCUGAGGUGGGAGGAUUGCUUGAGCCCAGGAGGUUGAGGCUGCAGUGAGCUGCGGUCACACCACUGCACUCCAGCCUGGGUGACAGAGCAAGAUCCUGUCUCAA
rfam:Gorilla gorilla gorilla genomic chromosome, chr16, whole genome shotgun sequence